UGGAUAGUAUUAUUAAUGAAAUUUAACGGAUUUGGCGGCAAGAUAGCCACUUAGAGGAACCUGCCCUGUAAACGAUGAGCCACGAUUAACCUUACUUUUACUAGAAUCCAGUUUGUAUACCGCUGUUGUCAGUUAGUUUCUUUAGAAAACUUUCGUACAUGAUAAAUUCAAUGACUUCAAGUAAAGGUGCAGCUUAUGUAAAAGAUAGAGGUGGGUUACAAUUAAAAGAAUAAUAUGGAUAAAGUAAAGAAAAAACUUUUGAAGGUGGAUUUAAUAGUAAAGUUUAAUAAGACUUGAUUAGAGCUCUAUCUUGUGUACACACCGCCCGUCGCUCGCGGGA
rnacentral:rRNA from 1 species